rnacentral:rRNA from 1 species
UACGAAGGGGGCUAGCGUUGCUCGGAAUACUGGGCGUAAAGCGCACGUAGGCGGAUUGUUAAGUCGGGGGUGAAAUCCUGGAGCUCAACUCCAGAACUGCCUUCGAUACUGGCGAUCUCGAGUUCGGGAGAGGUGAGUGGAACUGCGAGUGUAGAGGUGAAAUUCGUAGAUAUUCGCAAGAACACCAGUGGCGAAGGCGGCUCACUGGCCGAUACUGACGCUGAGGUGCGAAAGCGUGGGGAGCAAACAGG